GGGCCCGUGGCCCAUUAUGGAUUAGGGCGCAGGCCUUCGAAGCCUGUAUCAGUGGGUUCGAAUCCCACCGGGCCCG
rnacentral:tRNA from 3 species